rnacentral:lncRNA from 1 species
AGAAUGGAAAUGGGGAUGUCUACAACCGGACGUCCAUUGGAGCAUCAGGAAAUUGACGACAGUAAACAUCAAAAUAUACAAUGUAGCAUUUGUGUGUUUCACGCACAUUUACGAGAUCCAAUAUUUUCUGUUAUGACAAAUAUGGACGAAGGGAAAUGAGAAGUGAUAUAGAGGUAUAGGUCACGUAGAACAUUCAAUUUGUAAAUACAAA